rnacentral:rRNA from 1 species
AUUGAGCGCUGGCGGCAGGCCUAACACAUGCAAGUCGAACGGUAACAGGAAGAAGCUUGCUUCUUUGCUGACGAGUGGAGGACGGGUGAGGAAUGUCUGGGAAACUGCCUGAUGGAGGGGGAUAACUACUGGAAACGGUAGCUAAUACCGCAUAACGUCGCAAGACCAAAGAGGGGGACCUUCGGGCCUCUUGCCAUCGGAUGUGCCCAGAUGGGAUUAGCUAGUAGGUGGGGUAACGGCUCACCUAGGCGACGAUCCCUAGCUGGUCUGAGAGGAUGACCAGCCACACUGGAACUGAGACACGGUCCAGACUCCUACGGGAGGCAGCAGUGGGGAAUAUUGCACAAUGGGCGCAAGCCUGAUGCGGCCAUGCCGCGUGUAUGAAGAAGGCCUUCGGGUUGUAAAGUACUUUCAGCGGGGAGGAAGGGAGUAAAGUUAAUACCUUUGCUCAUUGACGUUACCCGCAGAAGAAGCACCGGCUAACUCCGUG